GAUCCCUUAUAAUAAUAAAGAAAGUUAAAUUUCGCUCUUAGAAGUGUGCAUCUCGUGUAGUUGUAGUAGUUAAAGUAAAAGUUUAACUAGCUUUAUACACGUAGUCGAAACUGAGAGGUUGAUCGAUCACAGUGGGCCUGAAGAAAGCCCACGAUGAAAAUUACAGCAGUGAGGAAUAUUGGUCAAUAGCCUAACGGCUGAACCAGCAACUUGGAGGAAUGUAUAGCAAUAGCUAAUUGCAUCAACAAAUAGUGGAUGCAAUAUCGACUCUGUCGAAUAAAAUUCUAGGUAGAAUUAUGAUAAUGACAUUGUCUGCCUAUGUGUCUUGACCAAAUUACGUGCCAGCAGUCGCGGUAAUACGUAGAAGACUAGUGUUAUUCAUCUUUAAUAGGUUUAAAGGGUACCUAGACGGUAAAUCAAGCCUUCAAAGGGACUAAUUUGCUAGAGUUAUAUGUGAGGGGGUAUUAAAGUACUGCUGGUGUAGAGAUGAAAUUCUGUCAUACCUCUUUUCGAAAGAAAAAUUAUGGCACAGGUAUAGGCGAAAGCAUCCCCUUAUGUGUUAACUGACGUUGAAGGACGAAGGCUUUGUGUCGCGAACAGGAUUAGAUACCCCAGUAGUCAAAGCAGAAAAUGAUGAAUGUCAUAGAUUAGACAUUAGAUAGUUUAUUCUAUAAAUGAAAGUGUAAGCAUUCCACCUCAAGAGUAAUUUGGCAACAUUGGAACUGAAAUCAUUAGACCGUUUCUGAAACCAGUAGUGAAGUAUGUUGUUUAAUUUGAUGCCCCGCAAAAAACCUUACCACAAUUUGAAUAGAUAUGUUUCGAUAAAAACAUAUUUACAAGCGUUGCACGGCUGUCUUCAGUUAAUGUCGUGAGAUUUUGGUUAGUUCCAUUAAAUUAACGUAAACCCUUACUUUAUUUUCAUAUAAAGUAGUUCCCCACUAGAUUGGAUAAGAUAACAGGGACUAAGAC
rnacentral:rRNA from 1 species